AACAGGUGGCAUACAUACAAGAGUGAAGUUUCUGUUCGAGACCACCACCGACCAUAAUAAAAGUCGAGUCUUUUAUCCUAGCCACAUCAGUUAGUGGCGCAUAAUUCCGUUUAAAUCCACUUGAUCAAUCAGGAGAGCAUCAGCGCUAGGGUUCGUCUGUUCCGUACAACUUACAAAUGCGCCAAAAUCCAAAGGAAAUCUAACUGUAAUGGAUCGAGUCGAGAUCACCCCAGGCCCCCGGACCGAU
rnacentral:lncRNA from 1 species